GCGGUGCCCCACCUCGCAUCGCUCCAUCCCGUCCGUCGGCCGUGCCCGACGCCCCCCGCAGGGUUCUCUCAUCAAAGUGUGUGCUCGCUCUGGGCGGCAGCCGCGGGACACCGGCUGAGGACAGCCGGACCCUCCCCGGGCCGCCGCCGGCCAGGCCUCUGGAAGUUUCUCCUGGCCCUUGACCGGCCGGGCCUGCGCGAGCGGCGCGGCGGGGGUGUUGUCCUGAGCAGGCCCGAGGAGCCAGCGAUCUUCCCGGCGUUUCGCAAGACUCCCUUGGGAGCACGGGCGGCUGGAGAAUGCUCUUGUCAACAGCUGCGAUGUGAGCAAAGCGCUGCUAUCCGGAGCAGUCUCGAUGUUUCAGUCUCUGAAAAUCGGUCGGGACUCCAGUCCCUGAAAAAGGAUUUUUGGUGUUCAAACCCUUCUUAAGGUAUCAGGACAAAUGACAUCUGGGCAAUAAGUUUCACAGUUUUUUCAAUAUGAUAAAAGCAUUACAGUUGGUCACUUUUGCUUUCUCACCAGAUAAUGGGCUGGAAGAUUUGGUUCCUGAACCAUGAAGUGAAACUUACGGAUGAAAAUCUAGACCAGCAAAGCUAAUGAAUGUUUUGUUAAUCACCCUGUAGGGUGUUUGCUGUUGAGCUCAAAAACAACUGAAGUCUCUUGCUGAAUUCUGCAAAAUUGUGCUGACCUCUGCUAAUCCCUCUUAUUUUUAUGAAACCUAAGGUCAGUUUUCAUCCUCAGUUUUCCAGAAAUGGACUAUCCAGACAAAACUACACACUCUGGGAGACCUGCCCUGAAAGGAAGAUUGGUUUGGGAGGGCAGAGUGGUACUGUGACUCCAAAACCUCUGCCUAUUCUCUUCCAUCAUCUAAGAACGUUAUGGAGAAGAGAGGACAAGGAGGAUCAAGGAGACAACUUGUCUUGCUGUACCUUUCCUCAUCCAGUGAGUGAUCACACAAAGCAAUUGCCAAGAGAAGGUUCCACUUAAUUUUUCUGAGGAUACAGUCUGUUUCCAGUCUGUUCCUACUGCUCUUAAGUUGUGAUUCUGGGCUAAGAUUCCCGGUGUCCUGAGUGAACUGUUCAUAGCUAUGGGUAAUGUUGCUUUCCCGUCUGCUAGUGACAGCACUGUGACUACUACAUAUUACCCAGUGGAACCCUUGCAGCUGAGCUGGCCAAGGUGGCUUUUGGUCAAGAAUAAGUGUAGGCCAGUGGCCAGGCUCUGCUGUCAGAUUCUGACUCUCUGCACUGUACCCUGAGAAGAAUAAUUUAUUGUCUUUGUUUCAGCCCUCAAAUUGUUUCUUGCAUUCCUCCAUUUGAUUGCUAUAAAUGCAGAACACUCAAAGCAAGUUAAGGAGGGAAUACAUAAGCCACAUUUUGGAAGUUUAACACCUGAGCACUGAAGUUAGCUCCCACUAGCCACAGUUCUAGGAAUCCAUUAUUGUAAAUUUCAUGUCUAAUCUUUCUACCUUAGUUUCUUCAAAUGUGACUUGGGCUAAUACUAUUUAAUAAAGUACUGGGAAGUUUGCAGUCAUGGAAUGAUAACGUUUUUGUUCAGUGAUAAAUUUCAUUAGAACAUAUAAAUAUAUCCUGCAUUUGGCUACAAGAUAUCUAUGGAUUUUAGUAAACUGUUGCUAUCCUUGCAUAAAAUCUGUGAGGAAAAUAAAUCCUCUGUGAAAGCAGACUAUCUGCCUGUCUGCCACCUUACCAGAAAACACCAGAAGCAUGCAAAAACUGGUACUGGAUUUUUUUUUUAUUUGCAUAAAGAACUUACUCUGAUUCCUGCCAGUUUGAGUGUUCUUUUUACCUUUGUCUGACAUGUGCUGAUCUUACAUUUACAAAAAUAACAUAGAAAACUAGUGUCAAUAGA